UGAUUCAGCUACAGACGUGCCAAAUCUCCUUCCCCAAAACACCACAUCAUCUCUUCUUCCUCCAAAAACUCAUCUAUUCUCUCUGUCAACACAAAGAAGCUAGGCCGAGAGGCAAGAUUGAGAAUCGCAGUGGUUCUGCGACGGUGGUGCCACCACGGUGAUGUUCGGGGCCAACUUGAAACCCUAAGUCGAACCUAAACAGAACGGUUCAGACCAUCGUCCUCUCCGGUUACACCGUUUUCUUCUCCAGCCAGACCAUUAGCAACUACAUUUGGCUUUGAUGGGUUGUACCAUGUGCUUUGGGUGUGUUUAAAAAAAAAACUUUUGUCCCACUACCUUUCAUAUACCAUCUCUGCUUAAAGAAUCAGCCCCACAACUCUCACUAAACCAACGUUGCCGCUUGAAAAACCCCUCCAACAACGUCGCAAAUCAACGCCAAAUCGGAGUUUUGGGAGACGAAGCGUAGAUCGGGUUCCGUCGACAGAGAGACGGUGGUGUGUCACUCAACCACCGGUGAGGGCAAGCUUUCUAGUAGUGAUUAGGUGUCUAGAAGACUCAAAGUGGUUCACGGCGACGCUUAGGGUUCCGGCGCCCAUGUCUCUAUAUGAAGGUGCGAUUUGGGGUUUUAAUUAAGUGAAACUGUUGAUGGUUUCUUUUUGUUGUUGUUUGGGUUUUGAUUGAUUGAUUGUUGUUGGCGAUAACGAUUUUCAUCGAGUGCACGGUUGGGAUCCACUAAACAGAGGACAAGGAAGCUUAUGGUAGCACACAUCCGGCGGUGGUGGUUGUGUAAGAAGAACAGAGGUGUCGACUGCCGGUUUCGGCCAAAUUAAGGUUCCGGUUGAUAUCCGGUCAACCUUUUUCGUCUUGCAGGUCUGAUCUUAGAGGUAACGCUGACUGCUGAUGAAAGCGGUGGUGGUGAUCGAUGGUUGUGACGGUACCAAUGUUGAUUGCUCCCAAGGUUCGCCUAUUAACUAUGGUUUUGUAUUGCGUAGUAUGUGAUGACUAUGUUGAAGGGUUCUAUACCAAUUUAUUUUGGUGGUACCGAACACCUAGCAGCCUAUGGGAAAUUAGUGUCAAUCAGGGGGCUUAAUGUUGAUGUAAACAAAAAGUUGAGUGCUGCAAUUGCAUAAAUUCUUGAGACCAAAUUGUCCAUCCUAAGUCGCAUUUCUAUCUCAAA